AAGUCUUUUACAGUUUUCUUCCUGUAUCAUAUCUUGUUUACUAUAUUUUUUAUACGGAUAAGCAUUAUAAGCUAAUUGCUUAGUAUAGACUCUUUAGCUUUCAUGUAUGGUAGUAUCUUUUCUACCAAAGGAGAGAGAUCAAAUUAACCCUUUCCCCUCCAGUAGGAGGUUGAGGGUUCAAGUCUAAGUGGAGAAAAAGUGUGUGAAUAUUAUAAGGGUCUUCUGUAAAACCCCACUUGCCAUUAAAAAAAACUUACUGGUGUGCAAACGAGAAUGUAUAAGUCUGCAAAAUGAGAGUUUAGCUGAAAUGUAUGCGUUUUCAAGCUGAGAGUUUAAGCUGGCCUACCCUUGUAGUGCGUAGUAUAUUGUGUUAAGAGAUUGGCUUUUUUCAGUCUAGUGAAGUGACAAGGAGCUUUAGUGAAGACUGAAGAACAUUUUUGUUUUGAAUAACUGGAAUACCUAAACAAUAAUGCAUCAUAUCUCUUCCCAAGUGUGUAACCUUUGCCUUUUGUUUUGACUUCUAUAUUAGUAUAUAUGAAUAUUUUUGGCAUGUAUUGUCUUGCUACUUCUUGCAAAUGCUAUAACUAUGCAUACCAUAACAGUCAAUGUAAUUAAUUGCAUUGGAUUCCUGCUGCUUAUGAAAAUAAUUUGAUGGUAUCUAUCUAUUUAUACACAAACAUAUAUACAUAUGGUUGGUUGAAAUGUACGGAAGCCAGUAGGGCAAGAAAAAUAAAGCAUGAAUUGAAGGCAAAAAAUAUGCAUGUAAUAAUACAUUGCAUGUAGAUUUAUUUUAAGUAACUGAGAAAGGAUGGUUCAUGAUUAAUACAGGAAAAGUUGUUCUAUUCCGGUAAAGGAAACUUAUGACUGUAUACGUUUUUGCAACUUUUGUUUGUAGGCCAUGCAAGUAGAUUUAAGAAAAGUAAGGCUCAUCAUCUCUUAUCAUUAUAUACAUUUUACAUACACGCACACACACUAAUUUUGCUGAUUCUACCCACUCACCCACCUCAAGAAAAAGCAGGGAGGGAAAUUGAAAAUCAAUUAAUAGAUUUGUUUGAUGCACUACUUUAUGAUAAGGUAAUGAAUAGAAGAGUAGAAAGGGCACUUGGAGUAUAGCUGUGUAACAGUGUAAGUAGCAAGAGGAGUUAGUAUUAUCACUUUUCUAGAAUAAAUGACACAACUUUAAAUUGGGCAGUUUCAAGGUAGAUUUGAAUGUAAAUAGUCGAUUCAAAUAGUUGCCUCGUAAAAUUUUAAUCUAAUAAAAAUAGAAAAGCAAGGGCAUAUUGUAGCUACUUUGUAAUUUUAAAUUAGAAAUGUGUAUGUUAUGUUAGAUGUAAAAACAACAAAAAGAAAAUGUGUUAAAAUGAUGAAUGAGAUUAGGAUCAGGGGUCAAAUUAUUGCAGAUUUGGUGGGAAGACAGGGAUAUUUGUCGGCAAGAGUUGGUUGCACUGUUUGUCAGCUUCGCAUACUGACUGCUCACCAGUUUUUCUAUGUAGUAGGAAUCUAAAAUGCAAUUCCACUACUUAUAGUUUUUAUUUUGUUGAAAGGAAAAAGCUUGUUUUAUGGUUAUAUUGUAGAAUUACAUUUUUCCUCUUUUUGUUGUAUCACCUGGAUACUUUCUGCACUAUUUGUUUUUCUUGGAUCUGUGAAAUAAGUGUUCAGGAGCUAGGUAAAUUAUAUUGGUUUUUUUACACAUAAAUUGUUGUUGAGGUGUCAUCUGGAUCGUAUGUAGUCACUAUUCACCCUUUUCACCUUACAGGCUACUAGACGGAAUUUCUUAUUGUUUAAGCUAGAAUUGCUGCCCUGAGCACCAAAAGCUAUCAAAAAUUUUGUGCUCAUCUACUCCAGCCUUAUACAGAAAAUAUGUCAGGAAAACGAAAACAGAUGUUACUUUUAGGAAGUUCACACGCAAUGGGGAAGUUCUUUAUGCUGCAGAAAAAUUGGUUCUUCAGGUUCUCUCUUUAUGUGUGGUGGGUCCAUCAAUAUAUAACAAGUUGCUGCUAAUGCUCAUACUUCCGCAAGGGUGAUGCACUUGGUAUAGGUGGACAGUCGCUCCUCUUUUUUCUUCUCUUUUUCGCUAAUUAACACUUGACACUCAUCUUUGACGAGUUUUUUUUCCCGUUCAAGUACUGAUAAAUAAUUUUUCAAUCCUUACCGAUGUACAUGAUAUAUGUAUUUAGAAAUCAACCUCGAUAUGUAGAAGACGCUUUAUCUAGAGCGUAAAGCUCGACACAAGUUAGCGGGUAAGACGUGUUUGUUCAAAUGCUCAUGAUACUUAUCUAUGUUACUCGGACUCUUCAUUUUGCCUCGAAAUACUUGUGUCGGACACUCGACACUCGGAUAUGAAUACUCAGACUUGGACAUUUAUUUGAGGUAAAAAAACAUACUAUUUUUCAUAAUAUUACCGAGUCCGACACAUAGACAUGUAUCCAUAUCGGACACUUUUAAUCGAGUCCGAGUAACAUAGUAUUUAAUUGUGUGGACUGUGGAAUGAGCUGAAACAACCUGCGGGGCCCAUGGUUGCUUUCACGUUUUAAGGCAGUUAAACGAUCCGCGAACCAACUUCAUGCAGGGACAAUAUAAGGCCAAGAAGAUGAGGAGAAAAAGCGAGAAAAAGGAAAAGAGGAAUAAUACAAUUCAAGAGUUUCAUCUCCACAAUCAUCUCUGCAGGGCCAGGUGAGGCCGACUCACUAGUCAAAUUAGUGGACUUUAUCUUAAUUAUUGGUAUACUUUGUAGGUAUUAUUAUUGUCAUUGUAGUACGAUUUUGCCCCACCACAAAAUGAAUAAUUAUACUUGUCGAAAACUAAAGGAAAUUAUACUACCUACACCUCUACAUCCCAUCAUUCUACUGCUGUUGAUCGCUACUCUGUAUCGACUCGGACUGUUUCUACGGACAUGAAGAUAAAUCUGACGAACCGAAAUAAAUCACGAGUAUAAUAGGUUUUGCUCUACUCGGAGGCGGCGUAUGUCACGAUUUCCAUGAAUAAUGUUGAAAAUAACAGAGUUGGGAGAAAUGACUCAAACCAACAUUUAUUAAUGUCGGAUAAUUCUACGUUUUGAUUUUUGGAAAUACACGCCAGAUCAUUUUGCGUUUAGGUCUGAAAAUCACUAUAAAACAAUCUGACAUUUUCAAACGCUAGAUUAUGUAGCCUUGUUAAAUAGAAUAAACGCUAAAGGAAAAUAGAAUAAACGCGGCACGAUUAAACAUUAUUUUGGAUUCUAAAGUGGUAGGUUGGGGCCAUCUUCUGUAACAAACUAACAAUAGUAUUUGGAAUAUUUUUCUUGAAACAGUGAGCAUCAACACCCCGUAAUUGAAGAGAGGUUGUUUUCGCGAGAUCUUGCUUAUAAAUUUUGUACUGACAAAUUUUCGUAAUCAUCAUGAACUCUAAAUCAUCAACGAAUUAAAUCAUUGCCAUCAACCCUUGCUUUUGUUUCACCUAAUGAACAUAGCAUAAUACUUUAUAAAAGAUUUGUUAUUAUGCACUUCCAUACGUUUCCAGAGCUUGAUUGCUUCAUUGUGAUCCUGCACUUAUUACUUGCAU